rnacentral:rRNA from 1 species
GACGAACGCUGGCGGCGUGCUUAACACAUGCAAGUCGAACGGAAAGGCCCUGCUUUUGUGGGGUGCUCGAGUGGCGAACGGGCGAGUAACACGUGAGUAACCUGCCCUUGACUUUGGGAUAACUUCAGGAAACUGGGGCUAAUACCGGAUAGGAGCUCCUGCUGCAUGGGGGGGGUUGGAAAGUUUCGGCCGUUGGGGAUGGACUCGCGGCUUAUCAGCUUGUUGGUGGGGUAGUGGCUGACCAAGGCUUUGACGGGUAGCCGGCAUUAGAGGGUGGCCGGGCACCAUGGGCCUACGAUAGGCAGCAGUAUGGUAUGGGAGGCAGUGGUCGGAAACAUUGCGCAAUGGGGCGACGUCAGAUGCGGCGAUGUCGGGUGCGGGAUGACGGGUUACGGGUUGUAAACCGAUGUCGCCUGUGACGAAGCGUGAGUGACGGUAAUGGGUCAGGAAGCCACGGCUAACUACGUG